CAUGGCUGUAGGUUACUGUACAUGGUGGAGGAACAUGGCUGUAGGUUACUGUACAUGGUGGAGGAACAUGGCUGUAGGUUACUGUACAUGGUGGAGGAACAUGGCUGUAGGUUACUGUACAUGGUGGAGGAACAUGGCUGUAGGCUACUGUACAUGGUGGAGGAACAUGGCUGUAGGCUACUGUACAUGGUGGAGGAACAUGGCUGUAGGUUACUGUACAUGGUGGAGGAACAUGGCUGUAGGUUACUGUACAUGGUGGAGGAACAUGGCUGUAGGCUACUGUACAUGGUGGAGGAACAUGGCUGUAGGCUACUGUACAUGGUGGAGGAACAUGGCUGUAGGUUACUGUACAUGGUGGAAGAAUAUGGCUGUAGGUUACUGUACAUGGUGGAGGAAUAUGGCUGUUUGUUACUGUACAUGGUGG
rnacentral:lncRNA from 1 species